UUAAGUUCAGCGGGUAUUCCUACCUGAUUUGAGGUCAAAUUGUCAUGUAUUGUCCGAAUAAACAGACGGUUGGAAGCAGUGCAAACCCAUAUGAUUGUAGAUGUCCACGGCGUAGAUAAUUAUCACACCAAUAGACAGUCCACGCGGGGCACCGGCUAAUGCAUUUAAGGGGAGCUGACCAUCUGCGAAGAAGCCAGCAA
rnacentral:misc_RNA from 1 species